rnacentral:rRNA from 1 species
UACAGAGGGGGCGAGCGUUGUUCGGAAUUACUGGGCGUAAAGGCGCGUAGGCGGCCAACUAAGUCAGACGUGAAAUCCCUCGGCUCAACCGGGGAACUGCGUCUGAUACUGGAUGGCUUGAAAUUCGGGAGAGGGAUGCGGAAUUCCGAGGUGUAGCGGUGAAAUGCGUAGAUAUCUGGAGGAAUACCGGUGGCGAAGGCGGCAUCCUGGACCGGCAUUGACGCUGAUGAGCGAAAGCUAAGGGGAGCA